GCGGGGGCGGAGAGAAGUCCUCGUGGCCUUUUGAUUCCUCGCAACAACUUACCUUCUGCUUCCCCGCGUUAACUUACGUGUUGGGCGCCUCAGCCCUGGUUAUGAGAAGAUUCCCGUUGUGGCUUCUGAGUAGCCGAAUGCUGGGGAAAGCAACACUUGGUCUCUAAUUGUCGCCCCAACCCAAAAAGGACUAAUCCAGAAGAAGAAGAAGAAGAAGAAGAAGAAGAAGGCCUAGAGAAUUGGUGACCUUUGUCUCCUUGUUUUUCUAUCAGUGUCAGCCAACAUUUAUUGAGAACUUAUAGGGCCAAGAUCUGGCUGAAAACAGUAGCUUCUAUGGUCUCCACACAACCUGUGAGAUUGGUACUGUUUUUAAUUCGCCAUCCCCAUUUCAUUAGGUGAGGAUACUGAAGCUUAGGGAGGUUUAGUAAUUUGCCCAAAUUCUCACAAGUGGAAAGGGAAGGAGCCAGGAUUUUUGGAGCCAGUCCCCAAAAGCGGACUGCAGAAACCCUUCUUAACCUGAUGUUGUCUUCCCUUCUGCCGUAUUUGUUGAAGCAUAAGGUGCUUAAUAGGGCUUAAUAGGAAAUAUUUGUAAAAAGGUGGUCUGAAUCCAAACCUGGGGGAGUAUUGGCCAUCUGUCCUUUGGUGAAAUGUCCCCAGAUACUCUGUUCCUGAGCCUGACAGGGAUGCUUUCCUUUAUGUGUUCUGUACUCUCUGUUCUUUCGUCUGAGCAAUUCUUGUUGAUUCUACCCCUGCAAUUGAUGUUCACCAGUGUGGGGAACUGCCUGGUAUUACCCACUCUAUUCUCAGCCUUUUCUUUUCUGUUUUUUUUUUUUCUCAGCCUUUUUUUUUUCUUUUCUAGGUUCUUCUGCUCCUGUCUUCCUGCAGAGCUUGUGAGAGAAAGGCACUCACUUAGAUGUGACAACCAAAAAUAUCUGCCAAAUAUCCCCUGGGGGACAAAAUCAUCCCCAUUUGAAAACCCACUGCGCUAAUGGUUAAUGGUUAAUGCCACAGGCUCUAGAGCCACCAGGACUUGGGAUCAAAGUCUUCUUUUGUCAUUUGUGGUCUUAGAGGGCGGGGUGUAUGUCUUGGGCAUCAAGCAUCCCUUGUGGCUUAACUUUUCUACGCCUCAGUUUCUGCAUCUGUAAUAUGAGAGCAAUCACCGAAAUCGACCUUAAAUCAUUAGCUGUGCAGAGAGAGAGAGACAGUGCAGGCAAAAUGCUUAGGGGAGUACUUGGCACGGGGUAGGGUUACACAGAUAUCAGUUACUGUUUUGCCCACCAGCAGACCUGCAGCAUUUUCAAACAGCAGGCACACACUUUGAAUACAUUUUGUUUUUCUCAAAGUAAUGAAGUUCCUCUCCCUUCUCUCAUUCAGGAAUGAAGAACGAGGCUUUUGCACAAGCUCUGAUCUCCAAAUGCCUCAAAUUAGGCUCUUCUGGAUGUGAGAGGGACACGAAGUCAAGGAAAGGAAGAAGUGAAGUAACGUACCGGCUCACUGCAGCUCAGCGUUCUCUGCCUAACACAGUCCCUGCCCCAGGACUAGGCUCUUACUCAAGAAACCUAGAGUUUUUUAUUUUCCCUUUUAACACUAACUCUGAGGAAUAAGGGUGACCAUCAUGGUAAGGCACUUAUCAGACCCCCGUCUACCUGAGAUGAGUUUUAGCUCUGAUUAGAAAGAAACAGUGACCAUAUCUAGGCUUGAUGCAGAUUUAUGUUUCUUACCUGUUGGGUAUCCAAUAGCUUGGUAGAAGUUUGAAAGAAAUUCUCUUUGUCAGAUGGAAGGCAUUAAUUUCUACUGUAUUAACUUGUGUCUACAUUGUGUGUGUGUGUGUGUGUAUAUCUAAAUUUGUUAUGGUUUUAAUACAUGGUUUAACUUUCACCUUGUGAAAGUAUUGCCUUA